CCCAUCCACUACUAUUCUCUGACCUUUCCUCCCCCGAAAUUCCUCCACGAUAUCCUACUUCCACGGCCUUCAAAACACAACAAACUCUGCUUUCAUAAGAUCUGGCUUUAGCUCUGGCACAGCCUCUGGAGGACAGUUUUGUUGGCUUGAAAAAAAAUUGAUUGGAUUCCCAUUCGUAAAGCAGGCCUUGAACGUCCAAUCGGGCGAUGCUUGGAAUGGUAGAAUUGAGGAUAAUAUGGAUCGCGUGUAUUGAAUGGAAAAGGAUGGGUUUUGAUGAUAUGAUGCCUUCUGUUGAGGAGUUUUCUUGAUUGAUCUUUGGACGCGAGUUCUAGUAACUAGUUUGUUUGUUUACUAGGCACACCGCUUUAUUUUCACAAAUCUUUUAUCAAUGUUCCCCCCGAGUUUGAAGUUUCUUGGUUUGGU
rnacentral:sRNA from 1 species